rnacentral:rRNA from 1 species
UGGGGAAUUUUGGACAAUGGGGGAAACCCUGAUCCAGCCAUCCCGCGUGUGCGAUGAAGGCCUUCGGGUUGUAAAGCACUUUUGGCAGGAAAGAAACGUCAUGGGUUAAUACCCCGUGAAACUGACGGUACCUGCAGAAUAAGCACCGGCUAACUACGUGCCAGCAGCCGCGGUAAUACGGAGGGUGCAAGCGUUAAUCGGAAUUACUGGGCGUAAAGCGUGCGCAGGCGGUUCGGAAAGAAAGAUGUGAAAUCCCAGAGCUAAACUUUGGAACUGCAUUUUUAACUACCGGGCUAGAGUGUGUCAGGGGGGGGUGGAAUUCCGCGGGUAGCAGUGAAAUGCGUAGAUAUGCGGAGGAACACGGAUGGCGAAGGCAGCCUCCUGGGAUAACACUGACGCUCAUGCACGAAAGCGUGGGGAGCAAACAGG